AUUGAACGCUGGCGGCAGGCUUAACACAUGCAAGUCGAGCGGGGUGAUGUAGCUUGCUACAUUACCUAGCGGCGGACGGGUGAGUAAUGCUUAGGAAUCUGCCUAUUAGUGGGGGACAACAUUCCGAAAGGAAUGCUAAUACCGCAUACGCCCUACGGGGGAAAGCAGGGGAUCUUCGGACCUUGCGCUAAUAGAUGAGCCUAAGUCAGAUUAGCUAGUUGGUGGGGUAAAGGCCUACCAAGGCGACGAUCUGUAGCGGGUCUGAGAGGAUGGUCCGCCACACUGGGACUGGGACACGGCCCAGACUCCUUCGGGAGGCAGCAGUGGGGAAUAUUGGACAAUGGGCGCAAGCCUGAUCCAGCCAUGACGCGUGUGUGAAGAAGGCCUUUUGGUUGUAAAGCACUUUAAGCGAGGAGGAGGCUACUUAGAUUAAUACUCUAGGAUAGUGGACGUUACUCGCAGAAUAAGCACCGGCUAACUCUGUGCCAGCCGCCGCCGUAAUAC
rnacentral:rRNA from 1 species